rfam:Canis lupus familiaris chromosome 29, whole genome shotgun sequence.
GCCUGAGUGGCUCAGUGGUUGAGCGUCUGGCUUUGGCUCAGGUCAUGAUCCUGGGGUCCUGGGAUCGAAUCCUGCAUCAGGUU